rnacentral:lncRNA from 1 species
UUGACAAAAAUAGUCCAUUAACAUGGACUUAUAAUGAUUUUGAAUCAUUAAGUGUUGAAGUGAUAAACCAUUUAAUGAGACGAAAACUAGGCAAGGACUUCACCUUUGUGUCCCUAUCCUUAUGGUUCACUAAGUUUAUUGUAAACUAUAUAAAUGAACAAUAACCACAUGCUCUCCAAAAUGUUUGAUGUGUAUAACACAAUUGAAAUAAGUUUCAAGAGAGAUAGU